CUGCAGAUCAGGGUCCAACACAUCUGAGGUUACAAGCCUUUAGCGAAGCCAACAUCAAUAAGAGAGAAAGUAAAUUAAUACCUUGAUUUGGCCUCAUAAGAAGAAUGGAAAACAGAAGAAGACACAAUUACCAGCGUCUUCGAAGUAAGUACUGAAUAAUUAAUAUUAUUAUCCAUCCAUCAGUUCAUUCAUUUCUGUGUCCGCCCUUGUUUACAGUGUUAGAUUUGAAUAUUAUGCUUUUGGGGGGUACUGGAGAAGGAAAGAGUGCAUCUGCAAACACCAUCUUAGGAGCUGAGCACAUAUUUCAAGAAGAUUUUUUACCUGAGGCUGUGACCAGAAUCUGUCAGUCAGAACAAACAGAAUUGGAUGGAAAAACAAUCACAGUGAUUGAUACCGUGGGACUCUCUGAUACAAACCAGAUGAAAAUCACAGAUGCUCAGACUGAAAUGGAGCAGAUGAUACGGCGUAUAAACCUUGAUGUGUUUCUGCUGGUGAUCAAACUCGGCCAUGUCUUUACAAAGGAGAGAAGUGCAGUUGUGCAGUGGAUCAAGGAUAAUUUUGGAGAAAAAUUCUUUCAACACACAAUAGUGCUCUUUACUUAUGGAGAUCAGUUGUCUGUGCCCAUAGAAGAUUAUCUUAGUAGGUCUCAGACACUGCAGUACUUGCUUGAAAAGUUUUCAGGUAGAUUUCAUGUUUUCAACAACAGAAACAAAGACAGAUCUCAAGUCACUGCACUUUUACAUCAGAUAAACAAACUGAUGAUGAUAAACGAAUACAGGAGAUACACUGAGAAGGACUAUGCCAUGGCUCAGAGAAAUCUCUUGCGCAAAAAUUGUCUUAAAGGAGCAGCAGCAGGAGGUGCAGCAGGAGGUGCAGCUGGUGCAGCAGGAGGAGCAAUCGCUGCUAAAGCAGGAGCAGUUGCAUUAACUCUAGGAAAAGGAGCACUAAUUGUAUCAGCAGGAGGAGCACUUCUGGUAGGAGUAGCAGCUUGUGCUGGUGUGUAUUGGCUUUCAAGAAAAUAUGUAACUAGGGAUGUGCCUGCUACGCAGGACCACACUGAAAGGGAAAGACUCUUCAUGGCAGCACAUGUUAAUGAGUGAGAUGUACUCACUGUAACAAUACAAUACAUUGCAGGCAUACUUUGAACAACCAAUGUAAAAUGGAUAAAGACAUCAUGCAAGAAAGCACUUCAAAUCCAAACAAAAGAGAAAAGACGUCAUAUAGACACCAGUUAUCGACAAACUGCAGACAUUGAGGUCAGUGUACUUGCAUCCAUUAAAAAGAAACAAGCUAGAGUUUUUGAUCAUGCUACAUACUGAAAUGAGAUCACUUACAGUAAGUCAAGUCUGGAAUUACCUUGCAACCACAUCAAUAAACUAGAGCAAUUCAAUAAGUCCCUUUUAAAUCUUGUCAGAACACUUGGCGAACACAUGGAUAAAGCUAUAAAAGAAAACAAAACAAUGUAACAGAUGAUCCUCGACAUUCUAUCCAGAUGCAUGCAUGACAAACUGAUCUUCAACCAUUCGACAACUAUCCGACAACCCUGAAGUGAUGAUUAAGGAUUUCCCUAACUUCCACCAGACAUUGUAAGCCAAACCACCUUCCACAAAGCUCAUGUCUUGGAUUACCUUCCUACCACUUAUACACAUAUAUGAAGUUUACAACCAUUUUUAUGUAUCUGUUUUAUUAUAGCUUUCUACGUCUGUUUAUGCACCUAUAUCUCUCAUUACAUUCGAAUGUAUCGCGCCACAGGGUGUUUCUUCGCACCUUUGCAUUGACUUAACAUGUAAAUCACUCGUGCUUGACACUUCUUCCACGUUUGGUGUGAACGCAGCAUUACACAGCACAUAAGAAACCACAAUCUACCCAAUUAUAAUCAGCGAACAUGCUACAAUUUCCCUUACGCUAAACAUUCCAACAGUUAUUAUUAAUUCUUAGUGCUAAUAAUAAACACUGGCUCAUUCUGAAAACAUAUCCCUAUAUACAUUUCUGGAGAUUGCAAAAUAUGUAACCAGAUCUACGUAUGGCUGCAUUUCAUUGUUUAAAUGACCGAUACGUGGCGGUGUGAUGGCGUUCAUUUCGACCCUACCAGCUGAGCUGUUACCAGUUUGUCGGUAGCUCAACAAAUAGGCAGACUUGAGAUGCAGAAAGGAAUUGACCUCAACAAUGAGGUUCAAGUCCGGAGAGGAAGCAGAUAAAAAAAAAACCCAAAAAUAAAAUAAAGUAAAUAACAGGGUGGGAAUGUGGUAAAAUCUGAAAACGUGUAAAAUCAGGUGAAGGAUUUUUUUCUUUUUCCAGGUUGCUUUUGAAAAUUUUGAGGUUGAGUUUAGAGAAGAGGAUGGGGUCAAUUGGUCAGUCAGUAAUUCAGUCAGUUGACAGCGGGCUCUGGUGGAUGUAUGAGAAAACAGCAGGCUUGAAGGCACAUGUGAGAGAAAUUAGAGAUCUGAAAAAGCAUACACAGCGGCCUCUGGUGGAUUCACCAAAACGAAAACUGCACAAAAACAUAUCUCCUGGGACGUAAUUUCCUCUCUCCAGAAAUGUAUACAGGGGUAUGUAAUCAGAAUGAGCCUGGGUUGUUUCUAUGAGAUGAUGUUUUAUUACUUCAUGAGCCUGACUUUGACAGAUUCAUUAGGAGGGAGUGGGUCUUCUUUUGUGAAAACAAAUGACUCUCCAUCAAUCAAAGCAUUUACCGUCAUCAAAUCAGUUAUCACAAGGAAAUUAAUCUUUCUUAUCACACUGGAAAAACCUCCAAUAGCAAAUGAAAAAUGAUUUACAAUGAUGAAUCAAGCAUCGUACAAACACUUGUAUCUUUUUUUUUUUAAAUCACACUUUUCUGUUUUCUCAUUUUUAAUUUUCUACUGUUGGUUACUCUUUAUUUUGAUGGUCCAUUUGAGUAUUAGUAGACUGUGUGCUUAAUAUCUGUUGAUACUGCUUCUUCAACAGA